AUUGAACGCUGGCGGCAGGCCUAAUACAUGCAAGUCGAGCGGAUGAAGGGAGCUUGCUCCUGGAUUCAGCGGCGGACGGGUGAGUAAUGCCUAGGAAUCUGCCUGGUAGUGGGGGAUAACGUCCGGAAACGGGCGCUAAUACCGCAUACGUCCUGAGGUAGAAAGUGGGGGAUCUUCGGACCUCACGCUAUCAGAUGAGCCUAGGUCGGAUUAGCUAGUUGGUGGGGUAAAGGCCUACCAAGGCGACGACCCGUAACUGGUCUGAGAGGCUGAUCAGUCACACUGGAACUGAGACACGGUCCAGACUCCUACGGGAGGCAGCAGUGGGGAAUAUUGGACAAUGGGCGAAAGCCUGAUCCAGCAAUGCCGCGUGUGUGAAGAAGGUCUUCGGAUUGUAAAGCACUUUAAGUUGGGAGGAAGGGAAGUAAGUUAAUACAUUGAUGUUUUGACGUUACCAACAGAAUAAGCACCGGCUAACUUCGUG
rnacentral:rRNA from 1 species